rnacentral:tRNA from 1 species
ACCUGGGUGGCUCAGUGGUUGAGUGUCUGCCUUCAGCCCAGGAUGUGAUCCUGGAGUUGUAGGAUCGAGUCCUGCAUCAGGCU